AAAAACAGACACUUACACUGGGCUGAUGGACCGGAAGAGAUGCAACAAAAGAAACCAGCUCAAAAUCACAGCAGCAGUGUCAGAGAGAAGGCACUGGCUGACAGAAAGGUCUGGACACACCGUCAGCAAGAGCUCGAGCCUGGAGCCUUGUGUCUUACAAACUCUGAGUCUGACUGCGACGCUGCUGGUAUGAGCUCUCAGAAACACCAAACUAAACCAAGACAAACAGAUAAAAGAGACAGAAGCAUGAGUGCCUCCAGAGAGCACUUCAUAGACGACAUUCAUCCCUUGAAAACUCAUUACAGCCAGUGAGAAAGAGACAGAGAAGUACACAGCAGAUUCUGCUGUUGUAAACUUGAGUAACGGCUACAGCGGUGAUAGAUGCAAAUUUAAAAGCCACAGCAAUGAGUCGGCCAACCCAAUAAAGUCACAAUGUGGUGAUGCAAAAGCGCACAAUGAAUUCAAGGACAAAACAUCACAACAAUCAUCUCGCAAUGACAUCAUCGUCAUAGAAAGCCACUCCAUCAAUCAUAUUUCAACUCUUACGGUGUUUAAGGGACAUCAGGGAAACAAUCAAACACACAAACCUCAUAAAAAGAACAGAAGUUCUGACCGACAAAAGUAUUCAGUAUCCACUAACGUGAAAUCGGAG